rnacentral:rRNA from 1 species
AGUGAACGCUGGCGGUAGGCCUAACACAUGCAAGUCGAACGGCAGCACAGUAAGAGCUUGCUCUUACGGGUGGCGAGUGGCGGACGGGUGGGGAAUACAUCGGAAUCUACUUUUUCGUGGGGGAUAACGUAGGGAAACUUACGCUAAUACCGCAUACGACCUACGGGUGAAAGCAGGGGACCUUCGGACCUUGCGCGAUUGAAUGAGCCGAUGUCGGAUUAGCUAGUUGGCGGGGUAAAGGCCCACCAAGGCGACGAUCCGUAGCUGGUCUGAGAGGAUGAUCAGCCACACUGGAACUGAGACACGGUCCAGACUCCUACGGGAGGCAGCAGUGGGGAAUAUUGGACAAUGGGCGCAAGCCUGAUCCAGCCAUACCGCGUGGGUGAAGAAGGCCUUCGGGUUGUAAAGCCCUUUUGUUGGGAAAGAAAAGCAGCAGGUUAAUACCCCGCUGUUCUGACGGUACCCAAAGAAUAAGCACCGGCUAACUUCGUG